GCUCAGGAUGAACGCUAGCUACAGGCUUAACACAUGCAAGUCGAGGGGCAGCAUGGUCUUAGCUUGCUAAGGCUGAUGGCGACCGGCGCACGGGUGAGUAACACGUACCCAACCUGCCGUCUACUCUUGGCCAGCCUUCUGAAAGGAAGAUUAAUCCAGGAUGGGAUCAUGAGUUCACAUGUCCGCAUGAUUAAAGGUAUUUUCCGGUAGACGAUGGGGAUGCGUUCCAUUAGAUAGUAGGCGGGGUAACGGCCCACCUAGUCAACGAUGGAUAGGGGUUCUGAGAGGAAGGUCCCCCACAUUGGAACUGAGACACGGUCCAAACUCCUACGGGAGGCAGCAGUGAGGAAUAUUGGUCAAUGGGCGAUGGCCUGAAC
rnacentral:rRNA from 1 species